AGUUAUAUAUAUAAAGAUUUAAUGGUAUAAGGGGGUUCGAUUCCCCCAAGAUCUUAGAAUUAGCUA
rnacentral:tRNA from 4 species